UACGUAGGGGGCAAGCGUUGUCCGGAGUUACUGGGCGUAAAGCGCACGCAGGCGGUCUCUUAAGUUUGGAGUGACAGUUGGUGGCUUAACUGCCAAAGUGCUUCGAAAACUGAGAGACUUGAGGGCUUCAGAGGGACACGGAAUCCGGGUGGAGCGGUGAAAUGCGUAGAGAUCCGGAGGAACACCGACGGCGCAGGCAGCGUCCUGGCCGCUUGCUGACACUGAGGCGCGAAAGCCAGGGGAGCAAACGGG
rnacentral:rRNA from 1 species